GAAAACAACAAAAGAGAGGAAUAUGUGAAUAAGGAACGCGAUUCUUGAUUGUUUUUUUUUCUUUUCUUGUGUUACCUUUGUGACUUAAAAGCAGCACGAGCCCGUCUCAACUUGGCUUUCGGAUAGGAAGGUCUUAAGUGCAGCGCCUUAGAGC
rnacentral:ribozyme from 13 species